GCCCCGUCGUCCGAGCCGCCGUAGCGUCCUCCCCGCGCGGCGCCUCCCAGCGCCCCGCCAUCCACCACCAGGGCGGCGUCGACGAGAUCCGGAACCUGCUGCGAGUCCAGGACACCAUGGGGCCGAGGAAUGCGGACUUGCUGUCGCUGCUGCCGUCCGUGAGCAAGCGCAGCGCGCCCAUCGUGGCUGACGAGGGCUCCUUGGUGGAGGAGCUGUCCGCCCUCAAGAAGAAGUCCGACUGAAGAGGGAAAAAGAGCAGGAAAGGAAAGAUGCGUCGCGACCCUUCUCUUUCUUUUCGUAGUGUUUCCAGCAACUCUCUUCCGAAACCAAACAUCAACGUUGUGAGAUCGCCUUAGUUAGUUUUCUCAGAGUCGUUAAUAAUUGUGCGGCUUCUCUGAUUGGCUGCGUCAUGACGUCACCGACGCUUUACGCGCAGAGCUCUGUUUCUUUCGUCGCGUGGACUCAGUCCUGGACACGCGACGAGCAAUAACCAACUGCUUCAAGUUGUAAAUUACUUGAAACUUUGUGUCGGCAGUACCAGCAAGCCGAGCUGGGACAGCAAAAUGUUUGCUCUGGCUGUUUUUAUUUGGUUCUUAUCAGUUUUGCGACUGUUUUAGUUAGUUAAGUAUUUCAUUUCGUUUCUUUAUUCUUUGAGAAACUGACUGAUUAGCUACUGGGUGUCGUUGGGAGGAGGUAAAAACCGAACGAGUCGUCAAAGAUUCCUUUUAAAAUUUGUGUCUCGCAUUUCGAAUGCGUUUAAGUCGCCACUGAGCUUGUUGUGUUUGCAAGUGAAUUUCGCAUUGUGUUAAAAAAGAACAGCUUGUAGACUGGUAGAGACUUUGCCGCUAUUCCUCUCGCACCUCCCAUCUCCGUCUAUAAAUUUCCCGCUCUCGUCGUUUGCGCGCUCUUUUCUUGUAUUUCGGACAUGGCUCCAUACUCCUUGCGCGUUCACCGCGGGCUCCUCUCCCGGCAGAGCGUUUUCCGGAGACGAAAUCUUGUCAGCGCGAAAAUCAAAAGACGUGUUCUGUUUUCGCGUGCGCUGUUUCCCAAAGUUUCAACGGAAGAGCAGGCAGAGCAACUUUGGCCGCAGUUCGGCGGCGUGGCAGGAAAUAUUGUCGGCGAGGUGUGUAAAAAGUAUUUACAUGAUUAUGCAGCAACUGCUGCUCUUAUUAUCACUAUCCAACGUGUAAAAAGCGGGCGACGAAUCACUGUUUUAGUGUAUGUGUAAAAUCGUCUCAUAGUGAUAUUUAAUUUAAAACAUUACGAGGGUCUGGCACACGCUGACCACAUCGGUGUUCGUCGAGCCAACACUUGUUUGGCUCGCAGCCCCGGUCAAGUAGUUUUCAUUUUGUUUUUAGAGAAGAAAAGAAACGUAGAUUCAGUUGCAGUCACGGUUGUGGUGACUCACGAUGAAAUAGCAUACAGGCUUUGUGACUCAGCAUAUCAUUCCAAGUGAAACUUCAAAAAAGAAAAAAAAACUUUGUUUUGAGCUUUUUUAAAGUAAAAUGUAUCACACUCUCUCCGCUGGGAAAAAAACGUAAAAAUUCAAAAGUUCUAAAUAAAGACUGCUCUUUUCCUCUCAUUAUUACUGUAUCUAGAGAUACAAGGCCUGGCAGAUGGGUAAGUUUAACCUUUGCAAAAUAGGAGAGCGUUACCUGAAUCAGUAGAGUUAAACAGUUGUGUAUGCCAAAGCUCCCCUCAUGGGGAAUAUCUUGACAAUGACUGUGACUAACUUGAGUUGAUAGUAAGUGUCUAUUCAAAGAGUGUAAUUUAAUUUUAAGUGAAAUACUGACUUGUACAAAUUAAACUUUUGUUUGCCUUUGUUGUUAUCUUUAAGUCUCAUCAGUAUUCUUGGCGGCCUCUCUUCGAACGGUAAACGAGGUGAAGAUUUUCCGCCAUUUCGUAAAAUCGUGUCAAUUGUACUUAUUUUCGACAGAACAAUCAUCAGCUUUCUUGGAUUCUCGCGGUCGAAUCACUUCCGCCAUACGAUGCUUUGUUGUGAGCGCGUAGCUGACCUAAUCCUAUUAAUCUUCGUACUAUGACCGGAGAUGUUUUGUGCCACUCUAUCGCUCAUUUUUAUAAACCUUUUCCCCUCUCUCACACGGCCACUAUUGCGCCGACUUCAUAUCAGCUUCAGAUUUCUUGUGUUCUAUCGACUUUUUACGAAACGGUCUUCCUGUGACGUUUCACCCCUCCGAAAAAACAUUGUUGUGCUACCUUAUUGCCUCGAUGUGUCUGUGAGUGGCCGGGGAGACACGAGGCCCUGCUGCUUCUGGGUGUGUGCCGGUGGCCACAUGGCCCACAUGGCCAGGUGGUCUGGCCCAGGUGGCCACCGCGCUGGGCUGUGCGGGUUACCCGCCGCCUGGUGGAUCGAAAGAGUUAGACUGAUAGGGCGAGCGGGGGCUGGCGACACAAUGUAGCACCGAAAAAAAGGUCUUUUUUCAGUACCUUGCGCGGCGCCAGCCUCCGGUCGCAGGAGAUGUGAUUGUUGUUGUUGGGUUUGCUAAGUGAUGUGCCGUAAAUAAUGUGAUGUCUGUAACAAUAAGGCGAGGCUAGCUUCUUGUCGUUUGUAUUGUUUCCUGUUGUUCUCGUGCAAGCUGCUCUUUUGUUCGAUGAGUUGAUUCGAAUGCUGACUUUACUGAAUGUGUACAUAACUUUCGUUCCUCUGCUUAUAUGUUUUAUACCUACAAUGUAUAUACGUAUAUUUUCAUAUAUCUACAGCAUCUAGGAUAGAGCACUACUUGUAAAUAAUCUUAUCUUUUCUCCUUCUGUGUGAUAUAUGAACUAAUCAAUUAGUAAUAACUACAAUAAAGUGUAUGCCCAAUAGAAA